rnacentral:misc_RNA from 1 species
UCGCACUCUGCCGCCGGCUCUUAGCCACUUAGUAGGGAUAUGAUGAGUGUUGAAGAAAGCCGUUGGAUAAAUAGAAUCAGAAGGAAGCUUGUCGAAUAGCUCAGAAAAGGAUCGAAUCCUGUAAUCCACAUCAGGUUCUUCAUCUGAGAGUUUCUCAACUGAAAUUCCUUCAAGUAGGAUAGAGAGUAUUGCUAUCUCUUGUUCUUGUUCAUCGACAGAAAUCUCC